rnacentral:rRNA from 1 species
UAAACUAGGAUUAGAUACCCUAUUAUUGAUAGCGUAAAUUUAAAAUAUUAAAUGAGUAAUAGUUAUGUUCUUGAAAUGUAAAAAAUUUGGCGGUAUUUUAAUCUUUUUAGAGGAACCUGUUCUGUAAUUGAUAUUCCACGAUUAAAUGUACUUUUUUUAGAAAUUUGUAUAUCGUCGAAGUUAAAUAUUUUAUAAGAAAUUAAAUAUUUAGAGUAUUGAAUAAUAUAAAAAAUCAGAUCAUGAUACAGUUUAUAGAAAAGUAGAGAUGGGUUACAAUUAGUUUAUUAAUAGAUUUUUUAUUUUAAAUAAUAAUGAAAGAGGAUUUAAUAGUAAUUUGAAUUAUUAUAUUUAAAUGAAUAGGGCUCUAAAAUGUGCACAUAUUGCCCGUCACUCCCUUUAGGGGAUAAGUCGUAACAUAGUAGCUGUAUCGGAAGAUGUAGCUAGAAAGCAAAUUGAAGCUUAUUAAAGUAUUUCAGUUACAAUGAAAGGGAGGUCAGCGGAGUGACUAAUUUGAAGGAAUUGUUUAUUUAAAUUUAUUUAAUUAAAGUAAUUGUUUAUUUAGUAUUUAAUUAGAAUUAUUUGGUUUGUUAUAGAUUAUUAGUAAAGUGAUUGAAUAAAUAAUUAAAUAAAAAGAAAAAUGUUGAUUUGUACCUUGUGUAUCAGGGUUGAUUAAUAUGAGUAUAUUAUUAUAUUUUCUCGAUAUAAAAUGAGCGAUAAAUAUAUUUAUUUUAAUGUAAAAAAAUUAUUUUUAAUAUAUUUAUAGAAAUGAGAUGUUAGUCGUAUUUUAUUAUAUCUAGUUUUUUAAGAAAUGAAUUGAAUUUAGUUAUUAAUAUUUAUUUACUUUAGUUUGUAAGUAUAUAAUAGUUAAUAUGAAAUAUUAUUAGGGAUAAGCUUAAUAAUAAAAAUUUAAUAAUAAUUAGAAUUAAUAUUUAGUGGGGAUAAAGGUUUCUAUCUAUAUAUAGUGUGUUAUUACAAGAUAUUAUUAUAAUUAGAUUUUUAUAUUAUUUAGAUUUUUUAUUAAAAUAUUUGAUUGAAUUAAAUAAUUAAAGUAAUAAUGAUUAAAUUAGUAUAUUUGUAAAUGUAGUAAUAAGUUAAAUAAAUAGGUAAAUUAAAGGAAUUCGGCAAAAAAGUUUUCGCCUGUUUAUUAAAAACAUGGUCUUUUGAUUAUGAUUUAAGAUUUGGCCUGCUCUAUGAGGAUUUAAAUGGCUGCGGUAUUUUGACCGUACAAAGGUAGCAUAAUAAUUAGUUUCUUAAUUGGGAACUGGAAUGAAUGGUUGGACGAAAAAUUAACUGUCUUAGGUUUAUUGAAUUAGAAUUUUAUAUUUAAGUAAAAAAGCUUAAAUUUUAUUAAAAGACGAGAAGACCCUAUAGAACUUUAUAGUUUAAUAAUAUUAGUAAUUUAGGUAAUUAACAUUAAUAUUAAAAUAAUUAUUUUAUUGGGGUGAUAGGAAAAUUUAAUUAACUUUUUUAUUUAGUAAAUAUUAAUGAAUAAAUGAAUGAUCCAAGAAUGUUGAUUAUUAGAUUAAGUUACCUUAGGGAUAACAGCGUAAUUCUCUUUGAUAGUUCUUAUUGGAAGGAGGGAUUGCGACCUCGAUGUUGGAUUAAAUUUAAUUGUAGGUGUAGAAGCUUAUAUAUUUGGUCUGUUCGACCAUUGAAAAUUUACAUGAUCUGAGUUAAAAACCGGAGA